AGAGCCGCGGUAAUUCGGAGGGUGCGAGCGUUAAUCGGAAUUACUGGGCGUAAAGCGCGCGUAGGCGGUCUGAUCAGCCGGUUGUGAAAGCCCCGGGCUCAACCUGGGAACGGCAUCCGGAACUGUCAGGCUAGAGUGCAGGAGAGGAAGGUAGAAUUCCCGGUGUAGCGGUGAAAUGCGUAGAGAUCGGGAGGAAUACCAGUGGCGAAGGCGGCCUUCUGGACUGACACUGACGCUGAGGUGCGAAAGCGUGGGUAGCAAACAGGAUUAGAUACCCUGGUAGUCCACGCCGUAAACGAUGUCGACUAGCCGUUGGGGUCCUUGAGACCUUUGUGGCGCAGUUAACGCGAUAAGUCGACCGCCUGGGGAGUACGGCCGCAAGGUUAAAACUCAAAUGAAUUGACGGGGGCCGCACAAGCGGUGGAGCAUGUGGUUUAAUUCGAUGCAACGCGAAGAACCUUACCUACCCUUGACAUCGUGCGAACUWGGUAGAGAUACCUWGGUGCWNCGGGAACGCACAGACAGGUGCUGCAUGGCUGUCGUCAGCUCGUGUUGUGAAAUGUUGGGUUAAGUCCCGUAACGAGCGCAACCCUUGUCCCUAUUUGCCAGCGAUUCGGUCGGGAACUCUAGGGAGACUGCCGGUGACAAACCGGAGGAAGGUGGGGACGACGUCAAGUCAUCAUGGCCUUACGGGUAGGGCUACACACGUGCUACAAUGGACGGUACAAAGGGUUGCAAGACCGCGAGGUGGAGCUAAUCCCAGAAAGCUGUUCUCAGUCCGGAUCGGAGUCUGCAACUCGACUCCGUGAAGUCGGAAUCGCUAGUAAUCGUGAAUCAGAAUGUCACGGUGAAUACGUUCCCGGGCCUUGCACACACCGCCCGUC
rnacentral:rRNA from 1 species